AUUGAACGCUAGCGGCAUGCCUAACACAUGCAAGUCGAACGGCAGCACGAGGAGCUUGCUCCUUGGUGGCGAGUGGCGGACGGGUGAGUAACGCGUAGGAAUCUACCUUAUAGUGGGGGAUAACCCGGGGAAACUCGGGCUAAUACCGCAUAAUCUCUACGGAGCAAAGUGGGGGACCUUUUAGGCCUCACGCUAUUAGAUGAGCCUGCGUCGGAUUAGCUAGUUGGUGGGGUAAAGGCCUACCAAGGCGACGAUCCGUAGCUGGUCUGAGAGGACGACCAGCCACACUGGGACUGAGACACGGCCCAGACUCCUACGGGAGGCAGCAGUGGGGAAUAUUGGACAAUGGGCGCAGGCCUGAUCCAGCAAUGCCGCGUGUGUGAAGAAGGCCCUCGGGUUGUAAAGCACUUUUAGUGGGGAAGAAAAAGUCGGAGAUAAUAUCUCCGAAAAUUGACGUUACCCACAGAAAAAGCACUGGCUAACUCUGUGCCAGCCGCCGCAGUAA
rnacentral:rRNA from 1 species